rnacentral:lncRNA from 1 species
UUUAAAAUAUAAGACUCAUUAUCACACAACUUAAUGGGAGGCUAUGAAUAAGUUAUCUCAUAACUGUAUCAUUUUAUAGACCUAAUAAUUUAGAAGAAUUGAUUUCAUUGAUCUGAGAAUAAGAGAAGAAGUUAACCUGCAAGUUAUAAAUCCUUCCACUGACUUCAUCAAGUCAUGUAAAGGAUUAGACACAAGCUAAUCUAAAGAUAUCUAAAUCAGUCAUACUGAUUAACCUUGAUGGCAUGAGUUUGCUCG